AUAGUUGGCUGGAUACAGUAGGUGGAGGUGGAUGAAUGAUUUGGACAGAUGACUCUCUAGUCCCUUGGUGGUAGGGAAUGAUGUGAGGACCCAGAAUAGAUGGACUAUGAAGAGAAGUGUGUGUAGGAGCUUGGCACUACAUGGAGUUUUCCUUUACCCUCUGCUCCCAGACAUGUUGUUUUAGUGUGAAUACUGCAGCAAAGAGCUGUUCUGUCCUGUGUUUGGGGGGAAAUCCCUUGUUCUCCCUCUCUCCCCCCUCUCUCCUGCUCACUCUCCCUCACUCCUGCUCUCUAUCCCACUCCCUCUCUCCCUCCUGUUGUGCCUAUCUCCCUCCCUCUCUCUCGCGCUCUCUCUUUUUCCCUCCCACUCCCUCUCUCCUUCCCUCCCCCCUGCCUCUCUCUCUGAGUCAUUGUUCCACUCAGGCAUGUCCAAGGCUACAGGCUCUAUUAGUGAAAAGCAGUGACCUAACGCUCCUAAAUCUGCCAAACACAUUCUGAGUCAACACUGGAAAUAACCCGGGAUUUACCGUCCGCUAGAGACGUGUUUUUACAUCCAUCCAUCCAAGGGUAUGUUACAGGAAGGAGCUGCCAGAGAAGAGAACCCAUAUCCUCCAACACAUGGCAGAGUCCUCCACAUCCUCCAACACAUGGCAGAGUCCUCCACAUCCUCCAACACAUGGCAGAGUCCUCCACAUCCUCCAACACAUGGCAGAGUCCUCCACUCCUCCAACACAUGGCAGAGUACUCCACUCCUCCAACACAUGGCAGAGUCCUCCACUCCUCCAACACAUGGCAGAGUCCUCCACUCCUCCAACACAUGGCAGAGUCCUCCACAUCCUCCAACACAUGGCAGAGUCCUCCACUCCUCCAACACAUGGCAGAGUCCUCCACAUCCUCCAACACAUGGCAGAGUCCUCCACUCCUCCAACACAUGGCAGAGUCCUCCAUCUAUCUCUCUCUGUUUCCUUACCUCCCACCCCUAUAAUCUUCCAAAAUGAAAUUUCAUACUUUCAUGCAAGAAAAUCCAAAGUGGCAAGAAUCCAUUGGAGGGAGGAAGAGAAGGAGGGUAGGCCAGGCUAGCUAACCAGAGAGAAAUUCUGCCCCUGGUCGGCAGAUUGAUGACAAGAUCAUUUUUCACAGACAGGAAAUCAGACCUCCAGCCAGCUACCUCAACAGGGAAUCAAACUUCCCAGCCAGCCACCUCAACAAGAAAUCAGACCUCCAGCCAGCUACCUCAACAGGAAAUCAAACCUCUAGCCAGCCACCUCAACAAGAAAUCAGACCUCCAGCCAGCCACCCCAACAGGAAAUCAAACCUCUAGCCAGCCACCCUAACAGGAAAUCAAACCUCCCAGCCAGCCACCUCAACAGGAAAUCAAACCUCCCAGCCAGCCACCUCAACAAGAAAUCAGACCUCCAGCCAGCCACCUCAACAAGAAAUCAGACCUCCAGCCAGCCACCUCAACAAGAAAUCAGACCUCCAGCCAGCCACCUCAACAAGAAAUCGAACCUCCAGCCAGCCGCCUCAACAAGAAAUCAGACCUCCAGCCAGCCACCUCAACAAGAAAUCAGACCUCCAGCCAGCCACCUCAACAGGAAAUCAAACAUCCAGCUAGCCACCUCAAAAGGGAAUCAAAGAUAACAACAUGGUUUAGAUAAAAGCCCAUGGACAACCAGAACAUCAGAAUUCCACUCCCAGAGUUUUUCUCAGAGUCUCCCAGCUAACAUCCACUAAGGGCCCAGCCUGGCAACACAGAGAGUCUCCCAGCCAACGUCCACUAAGGUUCUAGCCUGGCAACACAGAGAGUCUCCCAGCCAACGUCCACUAAGGUUCCAGCCUGGCAACACAGAGAGUCUCCCAGCCAACGUCCACUAAGGUUCUAGCCUGGCAACACAGAGUCUCCCAGCCAACGUCCACUAAGGCUCCAGCCUGGCAACACAGAGUGUCUCCCAGCCAACGUCCACUAAGGUUCCAGCCUGGCAACACAGAGAGUCUCCCAGCCAACGUCCACUAAGGUUCCAGCCUGGCAACACAGAGAGUCUCCCAGCCAACGUCCACUAAGGUUCUAGCCUGGCAACACAGAGAGUCUCCCAGCCAACGUCCACUAAGGUUCUAGCCUGGCAAAACAGAGUCUCCCAGCCAACGUCCACUAAGGUUCCAGCCUGGCAACACAGAGAGUCUCCCAGCCAACGUCCACUAAGGUUACAGCCUGGCAACACAGAGAGUCUCCCAGCCAACGUCCACUAAGGUUCUAGCCUGGCAAAACAGAGUCUCCCAGCCAACGUCCACUAAGGUUCCAGCCUGGCAACACAGAGAGUCUCCCAGCCAACGUCCACUAAGGUUUCAGCCUGGCAACACCGCCACGGGACAUUCUUGCACACAUACACACAAGCACAUUCGAAUACCCGAGCUGACAAGGUGAAAAAUCUGUUGAUCUGCCCUUGAGCACAACAUUUCAUUGCAACUACUGUAUGUAUGUGACAAUACAUAAUUUAAAAAAUAUAUAUUAUACAGGACUUCCAACAGUACAUAUAUGAUUGAGAAUCAUGGAGGCCAUUGUAUCCUGCUGCUAGACUCCUGUAUCAUGCUGUCUCCCAUCUUCCCCCCUCAGCAAUAUCUUCCAGUCCUUUAUUGAUAUCUCAUGUUGUUUUUGAAAACAUGUAAACGGCCAAACAUCCUAAAAUUAUCAAUUUUGUCUUGCUGAUACUCGAAAAGACAUUGUUGGUGUCUUGGCUGACACGAGAAAGUAACUUAGAUAGUCAGUUCAGAGCAGGAAUUGGAAUUAAACUCCUGCCACUGCAUCCUGAUCCUUGUUUUCAGUUGACUGGCGAGGAGUUUUGUCCCCAGCUGGCUGAAGCGUCUGUCCAACAGACAUGGGUUCAGGUAGUAUUUGUUUUCUUUCAACUGCCUUUGCUGCACUUGAUCGAGCUUCCCUGGCUGCAGUACAACCAACCGGGAUAGUCUCAAAAGUUCAAACCUUGCCCAUCUGGCCCUGCAUGCAGUCUCAAUCCAACGCUUAAAAGUAUUUGAAAGGAAACAAAUACUAUUUGAAUCUAGGACUGCUGUCCAAAGCUGGUCUUCUUAUGAGGGGUGUGUCCUGUACUCUGUCUUGUUCCCAAAUGGAACACUGUUCCCUACAUAAAGCCUCACAGCCCCCAUUCAAAAGUAGCACACUAUAGAGGAAUAGGAUGUAAUUUAGUACAUUUGAUUCCCAGCCCUCCCUCCUCGAAGAUCCCAAAUCCAAACCCAAAUCCAAAGGAUCUAUGGAGUGAAGGGUAAUGAUGAUAAUGAUACAAUAGUACCUGUUUCAAAUAAUGUAUUUUUUUUUACUUUCUGGUUAUUUAAAGUAUUUUUCACACAAAAUAUUUCUGAUGACCACUUUACAGCAACAUAUAAUCUUUCUAGCAUUCUUUGGGAAUGAGCUUACGCCUUCCUAUGAUAUGCUUUCUAUUCUCUCUCUGCCACAUAUCCUGUGGUCUCUCACAUCUGUCUCCUCUGCCACAUAUCCUGUGGUAUCUCACAUCCGUCUCCUCUGCCGCAUAUCCUGUGGUAUCUCACAUCCGUCUCCUCUGCCACAUAUCCUGUGGUAUCUCACAUCCGUCUCCUCUGCCACAUAUCUUGUGGUAUCUCACAUCUGUCUCCUCUGCCACAUAUCUUGUGGUAUCUCACAUCCGUCUCCUCUGCUGCAUAUCCUGUGGUAUCUCACAUCCGUCUCCUCUGCCACAUAUCCUGUGGUAUCUCACAUCCGUCUCCUCUGCCGCAUAUCCUGUGGUAUCUCACAUCCGUCUCCUCUGCUACAAGCAGCUGAUUUUUAGCUUUGACUCUCCAAUUAGCGUCUACAGCUUUGUUGGCAUGCACGCACACACACUGUUCACAAGGUUUUACUGCUAACCUACAAAGCAUUACAUGGGCUUGCUCCUACCUAUCUUUCCGAUUUGGUCCUGCCGUACAUACCUACACGUACGCUACGGUCACAAGACGCAGGCCUCCUAAUUGUCCCUAGAAUUUCUAAGCAAACGGCUGGAGGUAGGGCUUUCUCCUAUAGAG